rnacentral:rRNA from 1 species
UGGGGAAUAUUGCACAAUGGGGGAAACCCUGAUGCAGCAAUGCCGCGUGAAGGAUGAAGGUUUUCGGAUUGUAAACUUCUUUUGUACGGGACGAAACAAAUGACGGUACCGUAAGAAUAAGCCACGGCUAACUACGUGCCAGCAGCCGCGGUAAUACGUAGGUGGCAAGCGUUAUCCGGAUUUACUGGGUGUAAAGGGCGAGUAGGCGGGAUUGCAAGUCAGAUGUGAAAACUAUGGGCUCAACCCAUAGACUGCAUUUGAAACUGCAGUUCUUGAGUGAUGGAGAGGCAGGCGGAAUUCCCGGUGUAGCGGUGGAAUGCGUAGAUAUCGGGAGGAACACCAGUGGCGAAGGCGGCCUGCUGGACAUUAACUGACGCUGAGGCGCGAAAGCGUGGGGAGCAAACAGGAUUAGAUACCCUGGUAGU